AUACAAAAAAAAUUGUUUAGCCUCAUCAGUGUCGGGCCUAACUGUUAUGCCCGUCAUUGAUGUUACUUUCCGGGCCGACCAACCCAUGUCCUUCCUCUCUGCCGCCGCCACCUCCUCCCCCUUCUCUUUUCCACUGGCCCGAGCGCCUCCCCCCUUCUCUUCUCUGCAACCGCGAGCUCGUCCCCCCGGUCUUCUCUUCUGUCCUUGCUCCGGCCGACCGGCCGCCGCCACCAACCUCCGGAUCCCAUUUCCCUCCCUCCCUCCCGAUCUCCCCCGUCCCCCACUCCUCUCCAUCUCCGGCCAUCUCACCCGCCCCCACUCCUCUCUCUCUCACCCGUGGACGCGCCUCCUGUCUCACCCGACCACGACGCCACGCCGCAAGGGAGCGUCGGCCUCGACCCCGCGCGCGGCCGGAUCCGGCGUCCCCUACCCCGGUGGCCGCUGGAUCCCCGACCCCGACCGUUGCCGCCGGCGUCUCCGAUCCGGGCAGCGCCAUGGAGUCCCGGCCAUGGAGUCAUGGAGUCGCGAGCAGCGUCAUGGAGUCCCGGCCGCCGCCGCUGUGGUGUGGUAUGGUGUCUGCCGCCGACGCCAUGGAGACGAGGGUGGCGCCUCCACGUUCGUCCCCGAUGUCGACUUUGGGCUGCAAUGAAUUUGUCUUUUUUUUAUCUGUAUGCAUCUGUCCUCCGGUGAUUUGCUAUUGUACGGUGUCCAAAAUCCGGAUUCUUUGCUUACCUAUUUGUUGUGAUUUGUUGCGUCAUUUGGUUAAUUAGUUAGAUUUGCGAUUUGGAGAAUCGAAACGUGAGGGCCAUUUCUUCUUUUUUU